AGAGUUUGAUCCUGGCUCAGGAUGAACGCUGGCGGCGUGCCUAACACAUGCAAGUCGAACGGGGUGUCCGAUCUUCGGACUGGACACUUAGUGGCGGACGGGUGAGUAACGCGUGGGUAACCUGCCUCAUACAGGGGGAUAGCAGUUGGAAACGACUGAUAAUACCGCAUAAGCGCACAGUACCGCAUGGUACAGUGUGAAAAACUCCGGUGGUAUGAGAUGGACCCGCGUCUGAUUAGCUUGUUGGCGGGGUAACGGCCCACCAAGGCGACGAUCAGUAGCCGGCCUGAGAGGGUGAACGGCCACAUUGGGACUGAGACACGGCCCAAACUCCUACGGGAGGCAGCAGUGGGGAAUAUUGCACAAUGGGGGAAACCCUGAUGCCAGCGACGCCGCGUGAAGGAUGAAGUAUUUCGGUAUGUAAACUUCUAUCAGCAGGGAAGAUGAUGACGGUACCUGACUAAGAAGCCCCGGCUAACUACGUGCCAGCCGCAGC
rnacentral:rRNA from 1 species